rnacentral:lncRNA from 1 species
GUUUGGACGUUGCCGGUGUUCUUUGUUUCCCAGAAUUCCUAAGCCAGACCUGAAGUAAUACAAGGACGACUAAAUGUCGCGUUAUUUACGAUGUAAUGGCAAUGGGUAGCCUCAGAUCCUUCACCGCAUAUCGAGAAGUCAUUACCAUCUCAAAUAUUUGACUUGAAUAUGAAAGCAAAACAACUUUCAAAUAUUCGCUUACUUGAGUAUCUUGCACGUGAGAUCUCAUUUCGUAUCGUCUUUUUUAACAAUGUAACUAAUAAAAAUAUGUUUUCUGGUGUUUUUUUCAUU